CGGGCUUAAAUUGCAGAUGAAUUACGGUGAAAGCCGUAAGCCGCAAGGCAUCUGUGAAGGUGCUGCAUGGUUGUCGUCAGCUCGUGCCGUGAGGUGUCGGCUUAAGUGCCAUAACGAGCGCAACCCUUGUUGUCAGUUACUAACAGGUUCCGCUGAGGACUCUGACAAGACUGCCAUCGUAAGAUGUGAGGAAGGUGGGGAUGACGUCAAAUCAGCACGGCCCUUACGUCCGGGGCUACACACGUGUUACAAUGGGGGGUACAGAGGGCCGCUACCACGCGAGUGGAUGCCAAUCCCCAAAACCUCUCUCAGUUCGGACUGGAGUCUGCAACCCGACUCCACGAAGCUGGAUUCGCUAGUAAUCGCGCAUCAGCCACGGCGCGGUGAAUACGUUCCCGGGCC
rnacentral:rRNA from 1 species